rnacentral:lncRNA from 10 species
UGUAAAAAAAAAAAAAAAAAAUCCAAAAUUUCUGUAAAAUGACGCUCAGCGCUCUCCUGAUUAUGCCAAGGUCACGCAGGGUGGUGCCACCAGCAGGAACUAGAACCAGCCCAUAGGUCCUUCCCCUUGACCGGGACGUGGCUCCCUCCCCGCCAGCCUACUUCCUUUGCUAUCUCUGGUAUGGAAUUCAGGGACCUUCCAGUUCAGGAAAGGACAGGAUUCCUUGUCACUAUCAAACACUCAGGAGUGACUGACACAUGCCACUUCAG